rnacentral:ncRNA from 1 species
GACAGAAAAGGGCAACUCAAUCCGAAAGGAUAGAGGCGCAAAGUUUUCAGACCUAAUGUUUUCAAACAAUGGUUGUGAAACUACCUGG